GGCGGCGUGCCUAACACAUGCAAGUCGAACGAAGCACAUUGGAAAGAGACUCGGUCAAUGGAAAGUGUGACUUAGUGGCGGACGGGUGAGUAAUGCAUGAGCAGCCUGCCCUGGAGAGGGGGACAACAGCUGGAAACGGCUGCUAAUACCGCAUAAUACUGCGGGAAGGCAUCUUCCUGCAGUCAAAGAUUUAUCGCUCUGGGAUGGGCUCAUGUCUGAUUAGUUAGUUGGCGGGGCAACGGCCCACCAAGACUACGAUCAGUAGCCGGACUGAGAGGUUGAACGGCCGCAUUGGGACUGAGAUACGGCCCAGACUCCUACGGGAGGCAGCAGUGGGGAAUAUUGGGCAAUGGGCGCAAGCCUGACCCAAGCAACGCCGCGUGAAGGAAGAAGGCUUUCGGGUUGUAAACUUCUUUUAUCAGGGACGAAGAAAGUGACAGUACCUGAUGAAUAAGCCACGGCUAACUACGUGCCAGCAGCAGC
rnacentral:rRNA from 1 species